AAAAACAAAAUCUGAGUAGGUACAUAUAUUUCAUUUAGCAGUCGGAUUAAAAAUAUAUACGUUUGAAUUUACACAUUUUGUUAUCGGAAAGUACUUAAUGGUUGUACGAGCAGACAAAAAAGCGGUAUCAUUUACGUUGCGAUGACUGAAGAUAAGACUAUUGAGAUCGUAGAAUCUGCUCAGCAUGAAAUGCCGAUAGAAGAGAAGCAACCACAGUUUAAUCCGUGGCCUCAUUUGAAAGAUUAUUUUAAUUUUUCCAAGCGAAAUGCAAAAAACCAACUUCAACUCUUUUUUAAGUGCAAGCUUUGUGCCCCUAAAAAUACAACAAUCAAAGCACAUGUGAGCAGUUAUUUUAAUUUGAAAUCCCACAUAAGACGAAAUCAUCCGGCAAAUUUCGUAGCAUUUGAACAAUGUAUCAAAACAGGAAGUCUUCGGGGAAAGAAAGAAAUGAGUGUGGUGCAAGUAAUACCGAUCUAUUUCUAACAAAACCAGGACAAACUUUGUCUUCGAAUAUGCGCCAAACUUUAUUUAAUGAAUACCGCACAAACUCCAGCGUUCAUGAGAAGCAAUCCACGUUUGACGAAAAAAUCGUCAAUUUUUACGUUCAAAAUAUGUUAUCAUUUCACUCCGUGGAAUCCGAUUCAUUCAAAGUCAAAGAAUUGAUCACAACGUUGAACCCAAAAAUGUCAUCCAUGUCACGUAGAACGCUUGGCAGAAGGAUUACUGUACAAUAUAAGGAACUCGAGGAACUUUUGAUAAGAACCUUAGAAAAUAUCCAGUGGGUAUCUACAACGGCAGAUUGCUGGUCGGCACAUAAUCGAUCAUACAUCGGCAUGACAGUUCAUUGGUUGCAUCCGGAGACGCGUCAAAGACAGCAUGCUGUACUAGCAUGUUCACGAAU